UUGACGGAUUUCUUCGGAUUGAAGCCCUGGUGACUGAGCGGCGGACGGGUGAGUAACGCGUGGGUAACCUGCCUCAUACAGGGGGAUAACAGUUGGAAACGGCUGCUAAUACCGCAUAAGCGCACAGUACCGCAUGGUACGGUGUGAAAAACUCCGGUGGUAUGAGAUGGACCCGCGUCUGAUUAGGUAGUUGGUGGGGUAACGGCCUACCAAGCCGACGAUCAGUAGCCGACCUGAGAGGGUGACCGGCCACAUUGGGACUGAGACACGGCCCAAACUCCUACGGGAGGCAGCAGUGGGGAAUAUUGCACAAUGGGGGAAACCCUGAUGCAGCGACGCCGCGUGAGCGAUGAAGUAUUUCGGUAUGUAAAGCUCUAUCAGCAGGGAAGAAAAUGACGGUACCUGACUAAGAAGCCCCGGCUAACUACGUGCCAGCAGCCGCGGUAAUACGUAGGGGGCAAGCGUUAUCCGGAUUUACUGGGUGUAAAGGGAGCGUAGACGGCAUGGCAAGCCAGAUGUGAAAGCCCGGGGCUCAACCCCGGGACUGCAUUUGGAACUGUCAGGCUAGAGUGUCGGAGAGGAAAGCGGAAUUCCUAGUGUAGCGGUGAAAUGCGUAGAUAUUAGGAGGAACACCAGUGGCGAAGGCGGCUUUCUGGACGAUGACUGACGUUGAGGCUCGAAAGCGUGGGGAGCAAACAGG
rnacentral:rRNA from 1 species